rnacentral:rRNA from 1 species
UGAACGCUGGCGGCGUGCCUAAUACAUGCAAGUCGAGCGAACGGACGAGAAGCUUGCUUCUCUGAUGUUAGCGGCGGACGGGUGAGUAACACGUGGAUAACCUACCUAUAAGACUGGGAUAACUUCGGGAAACCGGAGCUAAUACCGGAUAAUAUUUUGAACCGCAUGGUUCAAAAGUGAAAGACGGUCUUGCUGUCACUUAUAGAUGGAUCCGCGCUGCAUUAGCUAGUUGGUAAGGUAACGGCUUACCAAGGCAACGAUGCAUAGCCGACCUGAGGGGGUGAUCGGCCACACUGGAACUGAGACACGGUCCAGACUCCUACGGGAGGCAGCAGUAGGGAAUCUUCCGCAAUGGGCGAAAGCCUGACGGAGCAACGCCGCGUGAGUGAUGAAGGUCUUCGGAUCGUAAAACUCUGUUAUUAGGGAAGAACAUAUGUGUAAGUGACUGUGCACAUCUUGACGGUACCUAAUCAGAGAGCCACGGCUAACUACGUG